UUAGAGUUUGAUCCUGGCUCAGGAUGAACGCUGGCGGUAUGCUUAACACAUGCAAGUCGAACGGUGUCUUCGGACAUAGUGGCGGACGGGUGAGUAACGCGUGAGAAUCUAGCUUCAGGUCUGGGACAACCACUGGAAACGGUGGCUAAUACCGGAUGUGCCGGAAGGUGAAAGGCUUGCUGCCUGAAGAUGAGCUCGCGUCCGAUUAGCUAGUAGGUGGGGUAAGAGCCUACCUAGGCGACGAUCGGUAGCUGGUCUGAGAGGAUGACCAGCCACACUGGGACUGAGACACGGCCCAGACUCCUACGGGAGGCAGCAGUGGGGAAUUUUCCGCAAUGGGCGAAAGCCUGACGGAGCAAUACCGCGUGAGGGAGGAAGGCUCUUGGGUUGUAAACCUCUUUUCUCAGGGAAGAACACAAUGACGGUACCUGAGGAAUCAGCAUCGGCUAACUCCGUGCCAGCAGCCGCGGUAAUACGGAGGAUGCAAGCGUUAUCCGGAAUGAUUGGGCGUAAAGCGUCCGCAGGUGGCUGUGUAAGUCUGCUGUCAAAGAGCAAAGCUCAACUUUGUAAAGGCAGUGGAAACUACACGGCUAGAGUGCGUUCGGGGCAGAGGGAAUUCCUGGUGUAGCGGUGAAAUGCGUAGAGAUCAGGAAGAACACCGGUGGCGAAGGCGCUCUGCUAGGCCGCAACUGACACUGAGGGACGAAAGCUAGGGGAGCGAAUGGGAUUAGAUACCCCAGUAGUCCUAGCUGUAAACGAUGG
rnacentral:rRNA from 1 species